GACGAACGCUGGCGGCGUGCCUAAUACAUGCAAGUAGAACGCACAGUUUAUACCGUAGCUUGCUACACCAUAGACUGUGAGUUGCGAACGGGUGAGUAACGCGUAGGUAACCUGCCUGGUAGCGGGGGAUAACUAUUGGAAACGAUAGCUAAUACCGCAUAAUAUUAAUUAUUGCAUGAUAAUUAAUUGAAAGGUGCAAUUGCACCACUACCAGAUGGACCUGCGUUGUAUUAGCUAGUAGGUGAGGUAACGGCUCACCUAGGCGACGAUACAUAGCCGACCUGAGAGGGUGAUCGGCCACACUGGGACUGAGACACGGCCCAGACUCCUACGGGAGGCAGCAGUAGGGAAACUUCGGCAAUGGACGAAAGUCUGACCGAGCAACGCCGCGUGAGUGAAGAAGGUUUUCGGAUCGUAAAGCUCUGUUGUAAGAGAAGAACGGGUGUGAGAGUGGAAAGUUCACACUGUGACGGUAGCUUACCAGAAAGGGACGGCUAACUACGUG
rnacentral:rRNA from 1 species